rnacentral:rRNA from 1 species
CCUACGGGUGGCAGCAGUGGGGAAUAUUGCACAAUGGGCGCAAGCCUGAUCCAGCGACGCCGCGUGAAUGAAGACGGUUUUCUGGUUGUAAACUCCUUUUGUUAGGGAAGAUAAUUGCGGUAUCUAACGAAUAAUCACCGGCUAACUCCGUGCCAGCAGCCGCGGUACUACGGAGGGUGCGAGCGUUACUCGGAGUCACUGGGCGUAAAGAGCGCGUAGGCGGGAUAGCAAGUCAGAUGUGAAAUCCUAGGGCUUAACCAUAGAACUGCAUUUGAAACUGUUAUUCUAGAGUAUGGGAGAGGUAGGUGGAAUUCGUGGUGUAGGGGUAAAAUACGUAGAGAUCAAGAGGAACACUCAUUGCGAAGGCGACCUGCUAGAACAUAACUGACGCUGAUGCGCGAAAGCGUGGGGAGCAAACAGGAUUAGAUACCCGUGUAGUC